CCGUUCAAUACUGCGGAGCUCGAGGGCAGAAGAGGGGGGUGGAAUUGCUGGUGUAGUGGUGAAAUGCGUAGAUAUCAGCAGGAACACCUGUGGCGAAAGCGGCCCCCUGGUCUGCCCCUGACACUCAGACGCGAAAGCUAGGGGAGUGAACGGGAUUAGAAACCCCGGUAAUCCUAGCCGUAAACGAUGGAUGCUAGGUGUGGGUGGUAUUGACCCCAUCCGUGCCGAAGCCAACGCGUUAAGCAUCCCGCCUGGGGACUACGGCCGCAAGGUUAAAACUCAAAGGAAUUGACGGGGACCCGCACAAGCAGCGGAGCGUGUGGUUUAAUUCGAUGCUACACGAAGAACCUUACCCAGGUUUGACAUGCAGGUAGUAGUGAAGCGAAAGCGGAACGAUCCUUCGGGAAGCCUGCACAGGUGCUGCAUGGCUGUCGUCAGCUCGUGCCGUGAGGUGUUUGGUUAAGUCCACUAACGAGCGCAACCCCUGUCGUCAGUUACAUGUGUCUGGCGAGACUGCCGGUCUUAAACCGGAGGAAGGUGGGGAUGACGUCAAGUCAGCAUGGCCUUUAUAUCUGGG
rnacentral:rRNA from 1 species